rnacentral:rRNA from 1 species
AACGAACGCUGGCGGCGCGUCUUAAGCAUGCAAGUCGAGCGGGAGACGGUAGCUUGCUACCGUCGAGAGCGGCGGACUGGUGAGUAACACGUGGGUGACGCACCCCCGGGACGGGGAUAGCCUGUAGAAAUAUAGGGUAAUACCGGAUGAGGUCCCCGUACUUGGAAUACGGGGAGGAAAGGAGCUGCGGCUCCGCCCGGGGAACGGCCCGCGACCCAUCAGCUAGUUGGCGGGGAAAAGGCCCACCAAGGCGAUGACGGGUAUCCGGCCUCAGAGGGCGACCGGACACAUUGGGACUGAGAUACGGCCCAGACUCC